UCCUGAACAAUUUGGCUUCAUUGUAAUGAGUUUAAUGAUCUUUGAAAAACCAUGAUUAUGAACAUACAAUUACUUUGUCUUGAGCUGAUCAGCAAACUGUGGUAGUGUUGGUUGAUUGGUGUCUAUAUUUGUUCAAGCUUGACAACCUUAUGACUUUAUUUUCUAAUAUAUAUAUUUCUCAUUACAGAUAAGAACAAAUAUUAAAUUGUAAGAAGGGUUGCUUAUAAGAGCAUACAGUACAUCUGAAACUGCUGAGACUGAUCAGCUGCUAUAGAAGACAAACUGAAAUCUGAAUGCAGAGACAUGCAAAGGAAUACUGCAAGACACUACUGACUAGGCUAUGCCCAGGUCUCCGGAACCUGCGACAACGCUCAGCUCCGUUGGCCCUUAGUCUGCGGCUUCGGAUCCACCAGCUCUGUCUCAAUCAGUCGGCCCCCAGAUGUCGGCAGCCACACCAUCUACAUCUUGGCUCCUCCCUCCCUCGACUCCGCCGUGUGUUGUCAGCACUGGGAUGCUCUGGGUCUGUGCCAUGUGCCAAACACCAUCUAAGCCGCCAGGGCAUCAUCGUCAUCCUCCCAUCACCAUCUCUACACCAUCUCCUUGUCCACCUCCAAAACCCCUCCAUCCCUCCCUAUUCUGUUGCUUGAACUUUAUCAUCUUCAGUCUUUGCACACACAUCUAUUCACUUUACAUGUUUUUUUUUUCUUCAGAAAAUUGCAUUGUAAUUUUUAUUUAUUCAUUGAUGUAAAAUUCUUUACUUUUCAGUAAUACAGGUAUAAUUGAAAUGUUCUACAAAUGGAUAAGAUGGCUCUUCCAUAGCAUUUCAGUCUUUUUUUCAUUUAUGUUUUUUGUAUAAUGUUUUAAAAUGUACUUGAGUAUGUUUGUAGUAAUACAAAAAUACUAUAAACAUACUUGUAUUUCAAGUGCAUUUUUAAUACAUUUAAUAGUAUGUAUUUUUUUGUUUUUCACCAAAGUAUAUAUGCUGCUGUACUUUUUUUAAUGUACUUCAUGAAUAUUUGUAAUGUACACAAUAUAUAAUACAUUAAAGUUUUCUAAAUAUCAAAGUGUA